rnacentral:rRNA from 1 species
GGAGUUAGCCGGUGCUUCUUCUGUGAGUGAUGUCCUUCCUGCCGGCUAUUAACCCGCAGGCCUUCUUCCUCACUGAAAGUGCUUUACAACCCGAAGGCCUUCUUCACACACGCGGCAUGGCUGGAUCAGGGUUGCCCCCAUUGUCCAAUAUUCCCCACUGCUGCCUCCCGUAGGAGUCUGGGCCGUGUCUCAGUCCCAGUGUGGCUGAUCAUCCUCUCAGACCAGCUACGGAUCGUCGCCUUGGUGAGCCGUUACCUCACCAACCAGCUAAUCCGACAUAGGCUCAUCCGAUAGCGCGAGGCCCGAAGGUCCCCCGCUUUCCCCCGUAGGGCGUAUGCGGUAUUAGCCUGGGUUUCCCCAGGUUAUCCCCCACUACCGGGAAGAUUCCUAUGCAUUACUCACCCGUCCGCCGCUCGCCACCAGGGAGCAAGCUCCCCGUGCUGCCGCUCGACUUGCAUGUGUUAGGCCUGCCGCCAGCGUUCAAUCUGAGCCAGGAUCAAACUCUGA